AGUUUAAGCAUGCUCAAAGAAGUCAACCAAACAUGUAUCAACUUCAAAACAUCAUAACUCAGUGAUAACAAAUGAUAAAUGAAUGGGAUCAACACCAUGGCAGAGCUUAGGAUGUCUAGUAUGCACAUGUAAAAUUUCAUGAUCAUCCAAUAAAGUAUGAGAAUUUCCCAAAUGGAAUGGCAAGAUGUGUCACAUAAAGUCAACAAUUGACUAGGCAAGGGAGAAAAAUCUCAAACAAAUAGGAAAUGGCAUAAUUAAUUCCAAGAA
rnacentral:lncRNA from 1 species